CUUCCGUAGGUGAACCUGCGGAAGGAUCAUUACCGAGUUUUGGGUCUCUUCACCGAGCCCACUCUCCAACCCUUUGUGUACCUACCUCUGUUGCUUUGGCGGGCCGCGGUUCUCCGCGGCCGGCCCCCUGAUCGGGGCUGGCCCGCGCCCGCCAGAGGACCACAAAACUCCAGUCAGUGAACUUUGCUGUCUGAUAUAAAUUCAAUAAACUAAAACUUUCAACAACGGAUCUCUUGGUUCUGGCAUCGAUGAAGAACGCAGCGAAAUGCGAUAAGUAAUGUGAAUUGCAGAAUUCAGUGAAUCAUCGAAUCUUUGAACGCACAUUGCGCCCUUUGGUAUUCCGAAGGGCAUGCCUGUUCGAGCGUCAUUACACCCCUCAAGCUCUGCUUGGUGUUGGGCAGCGUCCUCUCGGACGCGCCUCAAAGACCUCGGCGGUGGCGUCUUGCCUCAAGCGUAGUAGAAAACACCUCGCUUUGGAGGACGGGACGACCGCUCGCCGGACGAACCUUUGAAUUCAUUUCCUAGGUGA
rnacentral:rRNA from 1 species